CUUCAACCUUCAUACUCAUCUGAACCAUCAUCUCCUUCAUCUUCAGUUUGGAUCAAUUACUCAAGAACAAAAAGCAUAAUCUUGAUGAACAACAUUAAGAUGGGCAAAGUAUUGCGAGUUUGCGACUGUUUCUCAUGACAGGACAAUAAACUAUGGUCUAGCAAAAAUGCUGAAAAGGAUAAGGCAAUGGAUGUUGAUUGAAUCUCUUUAGGCAAAUUGUAUACGAGGUAAAGUCUGUGAAGAUGAAGGGGAUGAUGUUCAUAUGAAUAUGAAAGUUAAAGAUGAAGGAAAUUAGGGUAUUAAAAGGGGGAAAGACAAGUGGGGAGGUGAAUUGACCGUUCUACCCUCAUGUGUAGUGCACAUGACAUAACUUAACUGAAAAUUAUAACUGGGUUUGCUCUAAAGGACAUAACGUGCAAGAUUUUCAAACAUUAAGUACAAAAGUCAUCAAUUUUAAAGGUAAAGGACAACGCUUGAAAUUUGAGACAAACAUAAAGGACAAAACUUGUAAUUUACUCAAUGUUUUAUUUAGUUCAACACCAAGGACACAAUGCACCAUAGUGACUUGACGCAUGCCAGGCUCGCAACUUUUGAAAUCUAGUCUAAUAUGGAUAUGGAAAGUCGGGUUAUUGCUCCGAUUAAGUGGCCAGACCGAUAUCAUAUGAUUGUUGUGGUCAAACCAGGUGAAAUCCUGAACGUGUUGACCAGAAGUUGGGUAGAGUUUGUACUGGUGCCACUUUGCUUCUAGUAUGCGGGUUACUACUGGGUCAUUUUCAGACACACGUAAGGAACCGUUUUUGUAUUCAUAUAUACAUAGAUUUGCUUCACAUGCUUUCGGUUCUCAUACACAUUUGAUGCUUAUUGACUUAGGGUGAGCAAAAACCAAACCAUAACCGAAAUCCGAACCGUCAAAAAUUAACCAAAACCAACAUAAUCAAUCGGUUAUGCUUAAGUAAAUAUGAUGAACUGACCAUGGUUAUGGUUGAUGUAUCUCCGUUAACAGACUUCAAGCGAAACGGAACCGAACCUUGUAUUAUGUUUAUGAUUUUCUGGAAUAAUAUAUUGUUGUUGGCUGCUGUACACACCAUAUAAUCAUGUUGCUGACUUGCUGCUACAGAGAUAUACGAUAUGUGUUUGCUUGCCGGUUAAUCAGGAAGCAAUAAUUGUUGUGUUAGAGGCUUUGCUACUAUAUGGGGAUUUGUCCGAAAAGGAUUUCCUGCAUUUUGUGCAUAAAUGUCAUGGGUUCUUCGACAUUGGUUAUGUCAGCGUGAUAACCAGCUAUGCACACCAUCUGUUUGAUAAAACGCUUCAAUGAAACCCACUUCUAUGAGAAAUGAAGUAUGGUUUAUAUUGUUUUGAACCUAUAAAAAUCUACAAAAUGCCAAUUAAGCAACAAUGUAAAAUAAGGUCUAGCAUAACAUGUAUACCAGUCAAGAAUGUUGUUUAUUCAAUGUCUUACAGUCACAUAUGCUUUUGUUUGAUGUAGGGGUUUGUGGAUUAUAGCAGCAACUACUUAGGACUUGUUUCUCGGCAAGGCGGUAAGUAGAGAAAAUCUAGGACACUUGUUAAUCGUCGGGUAUCUUAUAUACAGCCUCUGUCUGCUUCUAUGAACGCAUAUUAGCAUCAUAAUCACUUCAUCAAACAUCAGAAUCAAACGAGUGGGUGUUAAUUGAAGCCACUUUAGGGGCAUCAUCGGUUGUGAAACAGUACCGAGGGAUGUUGUAUAGGGCUGCCAAAACGGGUUAACACGAAAACAACCAAGAGCAAGUUUGAAGCAAGUGACUAAGAAAGAAGCAAGAGCAAGAAACAAGUAUGAUCUUUGUGAACCGAUCAAGAAAGAGAAGAAGCAAGAAAGAAAGUUAAUCUUCACCAAGAAAGAAAGAAGAAACGGGUCAAGAUUAAGGGGGUGAGCGUAAGGUUAAUCUUGUCAUGGAUACGGGUCAAAAGUGGAUAUUGGUCAGCAGGAAGUUUGUUUAUUAAGUCACAUAUUUAUUAGUGAUUUUAAGUAGUCGUGUGUAGGUUUAGUGGGUCAAGAAAACGCAGCAUAAAUGUAGGAGUUUUAGGAGAUAAUGUGUUACAUGGUUGGUUAGUUAGUUAGAGUCUAUUUAAUGUAAAUUUGCAAUGAAUGAAAGGUGUGGGUUUUGAAGCAGUAAUAA